rnacentral:snoRNA from 1 species
ACCCCCUCAAGAUCAUACCUGGAGAGUUUCCGGAACUCUACCAGUCUCAGCUAUGGGAGGAAGAGUCAAACAGAGGUCUACCCAUUCCAUUCCUAGCUUGGGCAGUGGCUAGCAAGUGGAAGGCAAUCUGCUACAAGG